rnacentral:rRNA from 1 species
AAUCAACGCUGGCGGCGUGCCUAACACAUGCAAGUCGAACGCGAAAGUCCCGCAAGGGAUUAGUAGAGUGGCAAACGGGUGAGUAACACGUGGGUGACCUGCCUUCGAGUGGGGGAUAACGUCCCGAAAGGGACGCUAAUACCGCAUGACAUCCUGCCUUUUAACAGGCGGAGAUCAAAGCUGGGGAUCGCAAGACCUAGCGCUUGAAGAGGGGCCCGCGCCUGAUUAGCUAGNGGUGAGGUAACGGCUCACCAAGGCGACGAUCAGUAUCCGGCCUGAGAGGGCGCACGGACACACUGGAACUGAAACACGGUCCAGACUCCUACGGGAGGCAGCAGUGGGGAAUUUUGCGCAAUGGGGGAAACCCUGACGCAGCAACGCCGCGUGGAGGAUGAAAUCCCUUGGGAUGUAAACUCCUUUCGAUCGGGAAGAUAAUGACGGUACCGAGAG